CUCUGAGAGGCUCCACCCAACAGCUGACUGAAACAGAUGCGGAGAUUCACACCUGACCAUUAGAUGGAGCUCGGGGAGUCUUGUAGAAGAGGUGAGGAAAGGACUGAUGUACCAGAAGAAGACAGAGACUUCAAGGGAAGACCAUGAGUCAACUAACCUGGACCCUUGAGGGCUUCCAGAGACUGAACCACCAACCAAAGAUAGAUCCUGGGCCGGACCUAGCACUGCUACACAUAUGUAGCAGAUGUGCAGUGAAAACAAAUCUCAAGAAACUGAAGAGAGGAAUUCCACUCCUCCAAAAAUUUUCUAUAAAGCACAAACAGGAAUGUCAUGGCUAAUGAGACAAGAUGGAAAGGACUUUCACUGAGCUGAAGAAAGAAACAGAAAGGCCUGCCAUGCCCACUUCUACUGAGCAUAUUUUAAAUCCUAACCAGUGGGGGAAAAAUAAAGGAUUCCAAAGAAAGAAACCUGUAAACACAGUUACAUG
rnacentral:lncRNA from 1 species